ACGCACGCUGGCGGCGCGCCUAACACAUGCCAGUCGAACGAGCGAGAGAGAGCUUGCUUUCUCGAGCGAGUGGCGAACGGGUGAGUAACGCGUGAGGAACCUGCCUCAAAGAGGGGGACAACAGUUGGAAACGACUGCUAAUACCGCAUAAGCCCACGACCCGGCAUCGGGUAGAGGGAAAAGGAGCAAUCCGCUUUGAGAUGGCCUCGCGUCCGAUUAGCUAGUUGGUGAGGUAACGGCCCACCAAGGCGACGAUCGGUAGCCGGACUGAGAGGUUGAACGGCCACAUUGGGACUGAGACACGGCCCAGACUCCUACGGGAGGCAGCAGUGGGGAAUAUUGCACAAUGGGGGAAACCCUGAUGCAGCGACGCCGCGUGGAGGAAGAAGGUCUUCGGAUUGUAAACUCCUGUUGUUGAGGAAGAUAAUGACGGUACUCAACAAGGAAGUGACGGCUAACUACGUG
rnacentral:rRNA from 1 species